AAGACUAUAGACCUGCGGAGUACCUGCGGAAGGAUCAUUAGUGAACGCCCUCACGGGCUUAUAACUAUUCCAAACCUCUGUGAACCGUGCCCUUCGGGGCUAUUCUACAAACAUGGUGUAAUGAACGUCAUAUAUCAUAACAAAACAAAACUUUUAACAAUGGAUCUCU
rnacentral:misc_RNA from 1 species